GAUGAACGCUGACAGAAUGCUUAACACAUGCAAGUCUUUGGUGAAGCUGUGCUUGCACAGCCUAGCCAAGGCGGACGGGUGAGUAACGCGUAAGGAACUUGCCCUGCAGUCAGGGAUAACAGACGGAAACGACUGAUAAGACCUGGUAAAGUCAGGCGGACUCAUGUCCAGCCUGAUGAAAAGAGAUGCUGCAGGAGAGCCUUGCGUCCUAUUAGCUUGUUGGUGGGGUAACGGCCCACCAAGGCAAUGAUAGGUAGCCGGCCUGAGAGGGUGGACGGCCACAAGGGGACUGAGAUACGGCCCUGACUCCUACGGGAGGCAGCAGUGGGGAAUAUUGGACAAUGGGGGCAACCCUGAUCCAGCAAUUCUGUGUGCACGAUGAAGGUUUUCGGAUUGUAAAGUGCUUUCAGCAGGGAAGAAAAAAAUGACGGUACCUGCAGAAGAAGCGACGGCUAAAUACGUG
rnacentral:rRNA from 1 species